rnacentral:lncRNA from 1 species
GCUGAACUGCAAGCCUCUGCCCCACCGUCCCCAGCUCAGAGCAAAGCAGAAACUCGAAGCAGAUGGUGCUCUCCAAAAGCAGUGCCCCAAAAGAUGCUGGGGCAGGCACCGUGGGCAAGGCUGUCUCCUUCUGGCCCUGCCGUCCUGCUGCUGGCACUCUCUGCCAGCAUGACCUCCCAGGACAUCUGCAGCUCCCCAGGUACUCGUGAGUCCUUCCCUCCCAGACCCAGGGCACUUGGAAGCCCAACCACUGUGAGCUCUGCCCUAUGGCAGCCCUUCACUGCUGUGUCUCCUGCAGGGGAUCUCCCAGCUCCUGCUCUCCAAAUGAACUCAAGUUCUGCUCAGCCAGGUACCAGAGUUGUGCUCCAGUGUAUUCUCCCUGUGGUGUCACCCGUAAUACGAAUCAUCAUCUGCAAGGAUGGGAAGGAGGUGUACAGCCAGAAAGCCCAUCAAGGGCAGCUGAGCUACUCCGUGGUCCUGAACAUCACGUCAAGAAGCGCAGGAAUAUAUACCUGUGGGUACCAGCAGAGGAAUGAGAUGAAACAGAGGAGGAGCUCUGCCCUCAGUGCUUGCCAAAUCCUGGAUGUCCCUGGUGCAGCUGCUGGCGUGACCACGCAGGACUUCUGCAGCUCCCCAGGCAAUGUGGUGAGUUCCCCAGCAAGUCCAUCACCCCCAGGCAGGAGCUGUGCCAGCUGCAGAGACACGUCCCUCUCCCUGCUUCUCCCCAUCACACCCCGCUGCCCUCACACACUCUGUCCCACAGCUCCACAUGCCCGGAUCCCGCACACACUCCCCACAGGCACAGUGCUGGCAGUAGCAGCCAUCGGCCUCGUCCUCCUGUCUGCAGGCAGCUGGUUUGCCAUCAGGAAAGGUGAGGGAGUGGGGGAAGGUGGGGGGAAGGCUGAGGACAUGGGGGUCCUGCUGCAGUGCUGGUGCAGUGGGAAAGGUGGUGGGGGGAACCUGGGGGUGCACAGCUGGGCCAGACGGUGCCUGGGGGUGAUGGCUGUGGGCAGCCCAGCUGGGGAGGCUGCUGAGGGAGCUGGGGAGCUUCAGCCUUCGUCCCCCAGCCCCAAGAUUGGAGCCAGGGCUGGGCAGCACAUUGGCCUGUGCACCU